AGAACAGUCAACCCUUUCUUUCUACACCUCCUGCUGUUUUCAGUCUAUUUUUUAAUCAUUGCUGUUUCCUUCACCCAAGGGUGGGUCUGGGGCCUCCAAGAAAACACCAGUGUGACCUUCCUGCUUGCAUUCCAGCACAAGCACAUUCAAAACAUAGACAGGACUCACCCUUAAAAAAGAUUCACAGAACUCAGACCAACCUGGAAGGACUGAACUAAAUUUUCUGCAACUCAAUUGAUUUCCACCCAGGAUAAGAGGGAAAGUCUGUGGUGGGGUGGAAGACAAACAAACACUUGCCUGUGACCAUUUGGAAGAGAGCCAUGGUGGGCAGGCAGGCACACCUGCAGCCCGCAAGAAAAGGAAACAAAGAAAGGAAGGAGGAAAGAGAGGAGGGGAGACAGAUAGCAGAAGAGCAGAGAGAGAGAGAGAGAGGAGGAGGAGCGACAGAAAAGUGAAACAAGAGUUCUCAUCUGUUAUAGUUGCUUUAAGAGGGCAAGAGCUCCAGAGCAGAGAGGAGGAUAAAGAAUAGAAUGAAAAAAGAGGAACUGAAUAAAGUAGUUUUAAAAAGUUGAUGUUUUACUGGGAAUUUAUCCAGCAAAUACUUCACUUUGCAUCCAAGUGAACAGAGAAAACCAGUGAGGCUGGGAGUUUACUGGGACAGCAGACUGGUUUCUACUCACUGCUAAGAACCAUGGCCAACCACGUCAACGUAGAGUCCGAUUAUAUCUCUGGGAAGGAUGAGCUGGACUGGGGCUACGAGGAAGAGUGGGGACUUCAUUUCCCAGCCGCCAAUGGCGAGUACCAGUCUCCGAUCAACCUGAACUCCAGAGAGGCUCAGUACGACCCCUCUCUCCUCGAUGUUGGGUUAUCACCAAACUACGUGGUGUGUCGAGACUGUGAAGUCAUCAACGAUGGACACACUGUCCGCAUCCUUCUCAAGUCCAAGUCAGUGGUCACCGGGGGUCCGCUGCCAAGCGAUCAUGAGUACGAGCUUCAUGAGGUUCGAUUCCACUGGGGCAAGGAGAACCAGAGAGGGUCAGAGCACACAGUCAACUUCAAGGCUUUCCCCAUGGAGCUUCAUCUGAUUCACUGGAACAGCACUUUGUUUAACUCAUUAGAGGAUGCUCUGGGGAAGAAGAAUGGAGUCCUCAUCAUAGCACUGUUUGUGCAGGUUGGCAAAGAGCACCUGGGUCUGAAGGCCAUCACUGAAGUUCUACAGGACCUGCAGUACAAGGGGAAGAACAAGAUAAUACCAUGUUUUAAUCCCAACACACUACUGCCUGACCCACUACUGAGAGACUACUGGGUGUACGAAGGAUCUCUGACCACGCCGCCUUGUAGUGAAAAGGUGACCUGGAUUCUCUACCGCUAUCCUCUCACCAUCUCACAGCUACAGAUUGAAGAGUUUCGGAGGCUGAGGUCCCACAUCAAGGGGGCGGAGCUGCCUGAAGGCAACGAUGGAUUGCUGGGGGACAACUUCCGCCCCACCCAGCCGCUCAGUGAACGAAUGGUUCGCGCUGCCUUCCAGUGACUUCUACAUCCCUCUGCCAUCACAAAUAAACUGUGAGAACUGCAAACACAAAAAUAGAAGAGAGGAGAAAGGAGGAUCGAGGAGUGGAAGCAGAACAAGAGGCGAAAGGGACGUGGUUCAGCUGUAGAUUGAAAGUGGAUGAAGAUGAUAAUUCCUCACCCUCACUGCAGGCUGUGUGUGUGUGUGUGUGUGUGUGUGUGUGUGUGUGUGUGUGUGUGUGUGUGUGUGUGUGUGUGUGUGUGUGUGUGUGUGAGUGAAUUUGGAAGCUUAUCUGACCAUACCUGCUGUCACAACAGAAAGAAGCUUGAACUUCAGACAUUUUGGAACACACACACACACACACACACACACACACACACACACACACACACACACACACACACACACACACACUUUACUGAGGUCAUUCCUCUGACGCUCCAUGCCUCAGAUGGACCUUCUUUAGCACAAACUUGAGUUUAAUUUGUUUGUUUUACUGUAGUUGAAGGCUGAAAGUAAAAUCUGCAAACAUCCAUCCUAUCUUAAUAGUCAGACAUGGGUCAUCAAAGGUUAAUUUUCUGUGAGAAAGCAUUCAUAUUUCAUACAAAAUAGUGCUUUUUAGUUUUUGUAAAGAACAAACUAGAGUCAAGAGUUUUCCAGUAAAUCCGAGUUUUCCUUUAAAAGUCCAAGAAAAGGUUAUUAGUAGUUAGAAAAUAAACCAACACCAUUAGUAGCUGUUUAAUCUGUGUUUUAACCACAGUAACAACCUCUGUCUUAUUCAACUGUGGACAGGUUUUCAUUUCUUUGAUUUGAAGAAUGUCACUCAUGAAUGUGAGCAGCUUUAAACCUGAAUUAAACACGAUUCCCUAGACAUUAUUUAUGUGGUUUAACUUCUGUGUGUGUGUGUGUGUGUGUGUGUAGUCAUGUAAAUGCACUGUUUAAACUAAUAUAAUAGGAGAGAACUGAUGACUGUUACUGUGAAGCAACAAUAAAACAUAACAGUGACUCACUAGAA